rnacentral:lncRNA from 1 species
UGUUUUUUGUUUUUUUUGAGAUUUUUUACUUGAAUGAAAUUGAUUUUGUUUUGUUUUUUUCACUUGUAGACCCCUCAAAAGAAAGGCUGGAUAUUCUGGUAAGCUGGAAUGGCUGUGGUGCCAUUAGUGGGCCAGGGAAACGAGUAGACCUGAUAAUUGGCAGCAUCUACCUAUUAGACCAUCGACAGUUAUUACUAAUAGUGACACAAGAGUGAGGUGUGUGAAACAGACUCUGAGGAAUCAUUGAUAAACACAACCACACAGAUUUCUGUGUGUAACAUUGUUAAUGAGGGGUGGGUGGGAGAAGUCUGUUCUGUUAAAGAAUUUGGUAUUAAAGAAGAAAAAAACAAAAAAAGAAAGUAAAACUUGGGGUUUUUUUUUUUUUCAUGAA